GAUGAAUAACGUAGUAAAAUGCGAUACUUGGUGUGAAUUGCAGAAUCCCGUGAACCAUCGAGUUUUUGAACGCAAGUUGCGCCCGAAGCCUUUUGGCCGAGGGCACGUCUGCCUGGGCGUCACGCAUCGCGUCGCCCCCCACAAUUCUCCGUAAAGGGAACAUGUGUUUUGGGGGCGGAUAUUGGUCUCCCGUGCUCAUGGCGUGGUUGGCCGAAAUAGGAGUCCUUUCGAUGGACGCACGAACUAGUGGUGGUCGUAAAAACCCUCGUCUUUUGUUUCGUGCUGUUGCUCGCAAGGUAAACUCUUUAAAAACCCCAAUGUGUCGUCUCUUGACGACGCUUCGACCGCGACCCCAGGUCAGGCGGGACUACCCGCUGAGUUUAAGCAUAUCAAUAAGCGGAGGA
rnacentral:misc_RNA from 1 species